rnacentral:tRNA from 1 species
GCUAGUUGAGCAUGAGAAGUGUGUUAGAUUUAGGAUUUAAAGGUUGUAAUUAUAUUAUAACUAGUA